UUAAAAAUAUUGAACUACGGAAAAGUUGAGCAGGCUACUUCAUUCUACAAGUGGAAUUGAGAACUUAACACUCCUCGAUAGUAAAAAUCAUAUAACUAGAUACGUAGAUUCAGAUUUUGUGACAAACAGUGAUAGUCUAAGGAUGAGUAAUUACAGUUUUGUUUCGAUUUUCGCGUUCAUUUUGACGUUUUAUGUUUUAAAAGGUAACGCUGCCAGAGAAUGUUACACGUGUUCACAUAAUUUUUACCCCACUUCAGAUCCAAACUGUCUAAAUGUGAAUUCGCAAACUUGGACAAACACAUUUAGAAAAGGUAUUUUAAGACCCUUGCACGAUGAAGGAUGUGCAUACAUUCAGGCAGGAGACGAAGAUGAUCGAAUAAUAAUACGAACGGGGGCUAUUAUAGGCCAUUCUGGAAAGGACGGUUGGUGUGAAUCAUAUAAAGUUCUUUUAAGUUAUGGAAAAGGACGUUGCGAAGUUUGUUAUUCAGAUCGCUGCAAUUCACAGUCAGGUGGCCGGGCAGUGCCCUCAUAUCCAAAAACACCACCACCUACAACCACUCCGCCACCUCCUACAACCACGUCAGCACCUCCAAACAUGUCAUUAGCACAGAUGGAACCGAUUCUAAUUUCGCUUACUUUAACUGGAGUAUUGAAAAUUAAUUGAUAAGUAAAGGAAACAAUUUGGUAAUAUUUUUAAUAAAUUAGGUAGGUAAUUCGUUUUACGAAUAAAAAUUGAUAAAAUUAAGUACCUAAUAACAACUUUGACUAUUAUUCACCAGUAAAAAAUAAAACAAUAAUAAAACUAA